rnacentral:rRNA from 1 species
GACGUAGGGCGCGAGCGUUGUCCGGAUUUAUUGGGCGUAAAGAGCUCGUAGGCGGCUUGUCGCGUCGACUGUGAAAUCCCGCGGCUCAACCGCGGGUCUGCAGUCGAUACGGGCAGGCUAGAGUUCGGUAGGGGAGACUGAAUUCCUGGUGUAGCGGUGAAAUGCGCAGAUAUCAGGAGGAACACCGAUGGCGAAGGCAGGUCUCUGGGCCGAUACUGACGCUGAGGAGCGAAAGCGUGGGGAGCGAACAGG